AGAAGGCCUUUCGCUAUGUGAUUUUUAAGAUUGAUGAGAAGAUCAGCCAGAGGAUGAAAAUUCUUCAGGAUUUGGUUCCUGGAUGUAAUAAGGUUAUUGGGAAAGCACUUGUUGUUGAUGAGAUUAUUAAUUACAUCCAGUCACUGCAGCGCCAAGUCGAGUUCCUUUCGUUGAACCUUGAAGCAGUCAAUUCAAGGGUGAACAUGAAUCCCCCCA